rnacentral:rRNA from 1 species
UACAGGGGGGGGCAAGCGUUUGUUCGGAAUUACUGGGCGUAAAGGGCUCGUAGGCGGCCAACUAAGUCCGACGUGAAAUCCCAAAGCUUAACUUUGGAACUGCGUCGGAUACUGGAUGGCUUGAAUUCGGGAGAGGGAUGCAGAAUUCCAGGUGUAGCGGUGAAAUGCGUAGAUAUCUGGAGGAAUACCGGUGGCGAAGGCGGCAUCCUGGACCGACAUUGACGCUGAGGAGCGAAAGCUGAGGGGAGCAAACGGGG